UACGAAGGGUGCAAACGUUGCUCGGAAUCAUUGGGCGUAAAGCGCACGUAGGCGGCCUGAUAAGUCGGAUGUGAAAUCCCUCGGCUCAACUGGGGAGGGUCAUUCGAUACUGAUCGACUCGAAGGCAGGAGAGGGUAGUGGAAUUCCCGGUGUAGUGGUGAAAUGCGUAGAUAUCGGGAGGAACACCAGUGGCGAAGGCGACUACCUGGCCUGUUCUUGACGCUGAGGCGCGAAAGCUAGGGGAGCAAACGGG
rnacentral:rRNA from 1 species